GGUAGCCGGCCUGAGAGGGCGACCGGCCACACUGGGACUGAGACACGGCCCAGACUCCUACGGGAGGCAGCAGUGGGGAAUAUUGCACAAUGGGCGCAAGCCUGAUGCAGCGACGCCGCGUGAGGGAUGACGGCCUUCGGGUUGUAAACCUCUUUCAGCAGGGAAGAAGGCUUCGGUUGACGGUACCUGCAGAAGAAGCGCCGGCUAACUACGUGCCAGCAGCCGCGGUAAUACGUAGGGCGCAAGCGUUGUCCGGAAUUAUUGGGCGUAAAGAGCUCGUAGGCGGUCUGUCGCGUCUGGUGUGAAAUCCCGAGGCUCAACCUCGGGCUUGCAUCGGGUACGGGCAGACUAGAGUGCGGUAGGGGAGACUGGAAUUCCUGGUGUAGCGGUGGAAUGCGCAGAUAUCAGGAGGAACACCGAUGGCGAAGGCAGGUCUCUGGGCCGCAACUGACGCUGAGGAGCGAAAGCAUGGGGAGCGAACAGGAUUAGAUACCCUGGUAGUCCAUGCCGUAAACGUUGGGCACUAGGUGUGGGGCUCAUUCCACGAGUUCCGCGCCGCAGCUAACGCAUUAAGUGCCCCGCCUGGGGGAGUACGG
rnacentral:rRNA from 1 species